CCUACGGGAGGCUGCAUUGAGGAAUAUUGGUCAAUGGGCGCGAGCCUGAACCAGCCAAGUAGCGUGAAGGAUGACUGCCCUACGGGUUGUAAACUUCUUUUAUAAAGGAAUUCAGUGAGGCACGUGUGCCUUUUUGUAUGUACUUUAUGAAUAAGGAUCGGCUAACUCCGUGCCAGCAGGCGCGGUAAUACGGAGGAUCCGAGGGUUAUACGGAUUUAUUGGGUUUAAAGGGAGCGUAGAUGGGUAGUUAAGUCAGUUGUGAAAGUUUGCGGCUCAACCGUAAAAUUGCAAUUGAUACUGGCAGUCUUGAGUACAGUUGAGGUAAGCGGAAUUCGUUGUGUAGCGGUGAAAUGCUUAGAUAUCACGAAGAACCCCGAUUGCGAAGGCAGAUUACUAAACUGCCACUGACAUUGAUGCUCGAAAGUGUGGGUAUCAAACAGGAUUAGAUACCCUUGUAGUC
rnacentral:rRNA from 1 species